UAGUCAAUCUUUUCAAAUUGUAAUCAUAACCUGGCAUCCUGUCAGUCUGAAAAAGAAAAAAGAAAAAAAGCAUGGUGAGCUUUAUAGCCCAAUAAGACUUUCCACAAACCAACACCAAUAUAAUAAUAAUGAAUGAGAAAUUAACCAUGGUUGUUACUCAUAUAAAUCCAUGCCAAAAGAUACCAUGCUUCAUAAAAAUAUGUAUAGUAAAUAUAUUUUUUUGUGCAAUAAGUUAAAUUAUACAAUUAUCUCAAAUUAAC
rnacentral:lncRNA from 1 species